CGUACACUCCUACGGGAGGCAGCAGUGGGGAAUAUUGCACAAUGGGCGCAAGCCUGAUGCAGCCAUGCCGCGUGUAUGAAGAAGGCCUUCGGGUUGUAAAGUACUUUCAGCGGGGAGGAAGGCAAUACGGUUAAUAACCGUGUUGAUUGACGUUACCCGCAGAAGAAGCACCGGCUAACUCCGUGCCAGCAGCCGCGGUAAUACGGAGGGUGCAAGCGUUAAUCGGAAUUACUGGGCGUAAAGCGCACGCAGGCGGUCUGUCAAGUCGGAUGUGAAAUCCCCGGGCUCAACCUGGGAACUGCAUUCGAAACUGGCAGGCUUGAGUCUUGUAGAGGGGGGUAGAAUUCCAGGUGUAGCGGUGAAAUGCGUAGAGAUCUGGAGGAAUACCGGUGGCGAAGGCGGCCCCCUGGACAAAGACUGACGCUCAGGUGCGAAAGCGUGGGGAGCAAACAGGAUUAGAAACCCGUGUAGUCCCAUG
rnacentral:rRNA from 1 species